AGAGCUAAGGCUAGUCAGUAUCGAAUUGGCUCUCGACAGGGAGACUCCAAACGCGUCUUAAGACUUGGUGCACUCUUGUGGCCACGACAGCAGCCCGAAGAGAGGAGAGGUGAAGGGUGGAAAGGGUUAAAGGCGAUCUCUUGGAGAAUGAUGGACUAAAUCGUCACCAUUGUCAAGAAUUGAUUGAAAUUUCUGGUGGCAAGCCCAACAAUUAGAAGUUUCUCAGGUGCAAAACAACUAACUGAGGCCUGAGUCCAGCACCCAGUGUACCAACAUUGCACCCCUAAGGACAGCUCAAUGAGAGUCAAUUUAAAAUAUGAUCAGUGAAGCUGAGAAGAUAGAGAAGACUUGAUGUCAUAAAAACGUCACAGAACCUCAGAAGCUAGUAACCAUGGGACAUCCUGAUGCUGGUGAUUGAAAUCUGGGUGAAGACUUUCUGCAGGGAGCAGACAGCAAAGUUUCAGCCUUUGAGAGCCUCUGCUUGCCAUCAGCUGUGAGUG